rnacentral:rRNA from 1 species
CAAUCGCCGCGGUAAUACAGAGGGUGCGAGCGUUAAUCGGAUUUACUGGGCGUAAAGCGUGCGUAGGCGGCUUCUUAAGUCGGAUGUGAAAUCCCUGAGCUUAACUUAGGAAUUGCAUUCGAUACUGGGAAGCUAGAGUAUGGGAGAGGAUGGUAGAAUUCCAGGUGUAGCGGUGAAAUGCGUAGAGAUCUGGAGGAAUACCGAUGGCGAAGGCAGCCAUCUGGCCUAAUACUGACGCUGAGGUACGAAAGCAUGGGGAGCAAACAGGAUUAGAUACCCCUGUAGUCCCUGUCUCUUAUAC